rnacentral:rRNA from 1 species
UGGCCUACGGGAGGCAGCAGUGAGGAAUAUUGGUCAAUGGCCGGGAGGCUGAACCAGCCAAGUCGCGUGAGGGAAGACGGCCCUACGGGUUGUAAACCUCUUUUGUCAGGGAGCAAGGUGCAGGUCGGGACCUGCUGUGAGAGUACCUGAAGAAAAAGCAUCGGCUAACUCCGUGCCAGCAGCCGCGGUAAUACGGAGGAUGCGAGCGUUAUCCGGAUUUAUUGGGUUUAAAGGGUGCGUAGGCGGGCUGUUAAGUCAGCGGUCAAAUGUCGGGGCUCAACCCCGGCCUGCCGUUGAAACUGGCG